UGUAGACUCGUUCAAUUUCAAUUUCGUUGUAUUUUCUACAUCUCGGUCUCUGUUCUUCAACACCCCUAUAUUUUUUUUCAUUCAUUCUAUUUUCAUCCACUGAUUAUUUUCUUGAAAUAAAUUAGAGGAAUAUAAUCUUCUUGUGUUGUCUAAUUUAUAUUAAUUGUUUAAUUUCACUUUUUUAGUUUCCUAUUUUUGCAGAAUUGAAGCCUCGAAUCUCAAACGUUGUGUCUAUGCCAGUUGAACCGCAGAUUUCCUUGCUCCCUUACUGUUAAUGAAUUGGCUGUUGGAAAGGUGCUACAUGCAUUAAAUGGAAAGUGAAAGUGAAGAUGAUGGUCUUGAUUUGUACAUGUUGAUCCGGUGGUGAAGAUGACCCAGGCACCUUUUCCACCCAAGGAGCAGAAAGGAAGCUUUCAAAGAAGGAGUUGAAGGAAAAGGAACUUGCAGAACUUGAUGCUGUUUUGGCUGAGCUAGGAAUUGACACAUUAUGCGUUACUGAGAACCUGAAUUACAUCUUGAAUCUGUCGACCAAACUAAUAUUUGAAUCUCAGUCUAUCAAUUAUUUUAUUUGUUGGUUAAGUAAUUACAAUAACGAAAGCAACUGUCAAUUGAACAACCUUAUACUC